rnacentral:lncRNA from 1 species
CCUUGAUUGCCCUCUCUCGCGAUCGUACAAAGAAAAUCGAAAGAAUAUAAGGCAAUUGAGACCUAUACCAGUAAGUAUUAUCUUCCCUACUUCAAUUUCUUCCUCUAUUGUUGAAUUUGCGAUUUUUUUUACUGUAGCCCACCUUUUUUGACUAUCCACCUAGACAUUUUCUAUUUCUUAUGUAGUUGGGCUUCCAGGUUUGUUGAAACUUGAAAUCUUAACCAUUUUUUUUUAAAGGGAAUCUACAAUUUUCUCUAAUAUCUAUUGCUUCAUCAGUUCCUGUGCUCAAUCCAGCUUCAUCAGUCUUCGUCGUAGCUGAUUUUACAAGGUGGGCAAAAAUUAGAGGUAAGAAACAAUGUGGGUUUCUUUUUUGUUGUUUAAUUUCGCCUUUUCGUUGAUCUAUCUUCGUAUCUAAAACUAUGUAUAUGAAAGUUUGCAUAUGCCCUCUUGCGUUCUUCUUGCUAUUUGUGAUCGAAAUUUGCUAUCUUCCUAUGUAUUUACUAAUCUUACCAUUCAUGGAGGCUUCGAAUUUGAGUCUCAUGCUUUUAAAGUUGAUAUACAAUCUUAUUGUAUAUGAUAAUACAAACUGAGUUUAUUUUUUUAACCCAAACCUUAUAAGCCUAAUUCAAUCAUUUACUUCCCUAAUCUUUACUUUAUUAAUUUUGGAUGGACCAAAAAAGAUAAAAAAACUCAUCGAGAACAAAGGAAAAAGGUGAACAGGAAAUAUUUGACGUCUUUAUAUUUGAAUUCCACUUCAAACAAUAAAAAUCAUAAAAACAGAGAAGUGUUUCCAAAAGGCAACGAGAAAACUUAAGCUUGGAGAAAUUGAUUUGGCUAGAAUAUAAGGUAAGUCAGGAAGCCUUUAUUUGAAAAAUUAGUUUAGAUAUAUAUUUUUAUCUGUUAAGAUUAAGAGUUUCAUUCCUAAUCUAAUAUUCAGGAUUUUCAUAAAUACUAAGGGGUUUAAGUGAUAUAAAUUUACUUAGAAUUGAUAUAAUGAUUACUUGUGCUAACUUCUAUUUCCAUUUUUCAACUAUGACAUAAGAUUAGCCAAAAGUUAGUUUUAUAUGUUUAUAGUUCUGGAAUCAAAUUGUUUUGAUUCAAUUAUGUUGGAAAGAGAAGAAACCCAACAAAACCACGUGGAUUAAAAUUGUUGGAAGAGAAAAAGCAGAUAGUGAAAUGAAUUUCAUUUGAUAAUCGUAUGUGAAAUAUACUUUGAUUAGUAGAGAAGACAACGAAAAUUAUAUCAAAUUGAACAGAGCAUAAAUGAAAAGAAAUGAAUUGCAAUCUUUUAUUGUCAAAUUGCAAUCUUUGAUUUCGUGAAUUUGGUAUUGUUAAGCCUCAAAAACAAUAGAUUACAUUUGUUUUUGUGUAAUAGAUGUAUGAGUAAUUGUAUUCAUAUACAUAUUGGUACGUACUUUUUUUUGACGUUUUGGGUUUUUUAUACAGACAGAAACUAUAUAUUCUAACAUCAUAAAAAUAAACCAAGGAAAGCAUAUUAUGCCAUGUUAACUUGAAGUUUUACAAGCAUUUACAACCACAAGUGACAAGGUAAAGAAUCUAAAUUAAGAUUUGAGGUAUUAGGGUUCUUAUAUUAUUAUAAGUAUACUUAUCCUGAUCAGAAAAUUGAAGGAAAAUUUGUUUUACAUGUUAGAAUUUGAAUGGUAUUUACGCAUAAGAUUUGAAUUUGAGUGGACAAAAACUCCCUACCUUCUUUUGGAUGUCAUUAUGGAUUAAAAUUUUUAAUACAGAACUUCUCUGUUUCAUAAAUUUGAUUGGUAAGAAUAUAUUCCACUUAGAAAGAUGAUAAGGAACAUAACAUGAAACGAGUCUGCCUUAUUUACCUACAACCCAAUAUUUGGAAAUCCUUAAUUAUAAAUCACAAUUCAAAUCCAAUCUUGAAAUUACUACAUUCCAUUGGCCAAACUGUUAGGGAUAAACAAAGAGGGGGAAUUACUUUGGCACAAAGAAUAAAGAUGGUGUGUUCCAUCACAAAUUGAUUGCACUUAAAAAAGAUGAAGAAAAGAAAUGUAAUCUCAUUCUAACUUUGCCAAGCAAAUUAGUCAUUAAUCAAUUGUGAACAAAAGGUUAAACUUCAUUUCCACAACAUAGGAUAGAGUCUCUACUUAAAGUCAUUGAAGCUCAUACUAAAUGUAAAUCAUUAGAUUGAGAGUUAAAUCGAAGAAUGUAAAUAGUUGUCUGUGGUUUAACAAAAUAUUCAAUACUAGGGUUCUUUAUCAAGCAUCUGUGAUUCCUAUCAUGUACGUUUUUCAUUUCCAUGUAUGAAAAUUAGGUUACACACACACACACACACACACACAUAUAUAUAUAUGGAGACGAUUUUGCAAAUAAUCAGUUUAUUAAAAUGUUGUAGAAUUUAUAGAUAGAGACGAUCAAGCUUCUUUACUGUGCAAUCACUUUCAUGGAUUUAUCUAUGGAAGUAUGUAUAAAGAACAAAAUGAAAAAUUUAGUAGCAAAUUAAUACACGAGUUCAUAAUGAGACUUAUCAACUGCGGCAAAAAAAAAUGAAGUUUGGGUAUGAUUAAAUGAUCAUGUGGCCUGUUUUAGUAUACAAGAAUUUUGUUUAAUCACUAGAUUACCAUGCCAUGAAGUUGCUGUUGAUCUCAAUUUUAGUAAUACUCAACUUAGGGAUGAAUACUUCAAUGGUACAAAAAGAAUUACUAUGAAAAGACUUUCUGAAGUAUUUCACAUGUGUCAAGAUCGAGACGAUAAAUUCAAGCUAGGAUUAGUUAUGUUCGUCGAAUGCGUUUUAAAACCAAAUGGAAGGCACAUCGAUUUUAGAACUCUUGGAAUGAUUGAACAACUUGAUGAGUUUCUUAUGUAUCCACGGAAAUGUAAAACAUAUUUUGUUUUAUUAAAUUAAUUGCAAGAAUCACACCUCGAAAGAGUACGAAGAAUGCAACAAAAUGACCA